rnacentral:rRNA from 1 species
CCUACGGGGGGCAGCAGUGGGGGAUAUUGCACAAUGGGGGAAACCCUGAUGCAGCGACGCCGCGUGGGUGAAGAAGCGCCUCGGCGCGUAAAGCCCUGUCAGCAGGGAAGAAAAUGACGGUACCUGAAGAAGAAGCCCCGGCUAACUACGUGCCAGCAGCCGCGGUAAUACGUAGGGGGCAAGCGUUAUCCGGAUUUACUGGGUGUAAAGGGGGCGCAGACGGCGAUGCAAGACAGGAGUGAAAGCCCGGGGCCCAACCCCGGGACUGCUCUUGGAAAUGCGUGGCUAGAGUGCAGGAGGGGCAGGCGGAAUUCCUGGUGUAGCGGUGAAAUGCGUAGAUAGCAGGAGGAACACCGGUGGCGAAGGCGGCCUGCUGGACUGCAACUGACGUUGAGGCCCGAAAGCGUGGGGAGCAAACAGGAUUAGAUACCCGGGUAGUC